rnacentral:rRNA from 1 species
CCUACGGGUGGCUGCAGUGAGGAAUAUUGGUCAAUGGGCGCGAGCCUGAACCAGCCAAGUAGCGUGAAGGAUGACUGCCCUACGGGUUGUAAACUUCUUUUAUAAAGGAAUAAAGUGAGGCACGUGUGCCUUUUUGUAUGUACUUUAUGAAUAAGGAUCGGCUAACUCCGUGCCAGCAGCCGCGGUAAUACGGAGGAUCCGAGCGUUAUCCGGAUUUAUUGGGUUUAAAGGGAGCGUAGAUGGGUUGUUAAGUCAGUUGUGAAAGUUUGCGGCUCAACCUCUUCGAGCCGUUGAAACUGGUUUUCUUGAGUGAGUGAGAAGUAUGCGGAAUGCGUGGUGUAGCGGUGAAAUGCAUAGAUAUCACGCAGAACUCCGAUUGCGAAGGCAGCAUACCGGCGCUCAACUGACGCUCAUGCACGAAAGUGUGGGUAUCGAACAGGAUUAGAUACCCCUGUAGUC